GCCUGGGUGGCUCAGUCGGUUAAGUGUCUGACUUCCACUCAGGUCAUGAUCUCACGGUUUGUGGGUUUGAGCCCUGCAUCAGGCU
rnacentral:tRNA from 1 species